AUAAAGAAGGUCCCGCCUGCCCUGUGACUAUAUGUUUAACGGCCGCGGUAUUUUGACCGUGCGAAGGUAGCGCAAUCACUUGUCUUUUAAAUGAAGACCUGUAUGAAUGGCACCACGAGGGCUUAGCUGUCUCCCUCUCCCAGUCAAUGAAAUUGAUUUCCCCGUGCAGAAGCGGGGAUAAGAACAUAAGACGAGAAGACCCUAUGGAGCUUAAGACGCCAGGACAGCUCAUGUUAAACACCCCAAAAUAAAGGGUAUAAACUUAGUGAAACCCUGCCCUAGUGUCUUUGGUUGGGGCGACCACGGGGAAAAACUUAACCCCCACGUGGAAUAGGAAUACUAUUUUUCCUAGAUCCAAGAGCUCCCGCUCUAAUAAACAGAACUUCUGACCAAAGAGAUCCGGCAAUGCCGAUCAACGGACCGAGUUACCCUAGGGAUAACAGCGCAAUCCUCUUAAAGAGUCCCUAUCGACAAGAGGGUUUACGACCUCGAUGUUGGAUCAGGACAUCCUAAUGGUGCAGCCGCUAUUAAGGGUUCGUUUGUUCAACGAUUAAAGUCCUACGUGAUCU
rnacentral:rRNA from 1 species